rnacentral:rRNA from 1 species
GAUGAACGCUGGCGGCGUGCCUAAUACAUGCAAGUCGAGCGAACAGACGAGGAGCUUGCUCCUCUGACGUUAGCGGCGGACGGGUGAGUAACACGUGGAUAACCUACCUAUAAGACUGGGAUAACUUCGGGAAACCGGAGCUAAUACCGGAUAAUAUAUUGAACCGCAUGGUUCAAUAGUGAAAGACGGUUUUGCUGUCACUUAUAGAUGGAUCCGCGCCGCAUUAGCUAGUUGGUAAGGUAACGGCUUACCAAGGCAACGAUGCGUAGCCGACCUGAGAGGGUGAUCGGCCACCCUGGAACGGAGACACGUUCCAACCUCCUACGGGGGCAGCAGUAGGGAAUCUUCCGCAAUGGGCGAAAGCCUGACGGAGCAACGCCGCGUGAGUGAUGAAGGUCUUCGGAUCGUAAAACUCUGUUAUUAGGGAAGAACAAAUGUGUAAGUAACUAUGCACGUCUUGACGGUACCUAAUCAGAAAGCCACGGCUAACUACGUG